rnacentral:tRNA from 5 species
GGAUGAUUAGCUCAGCUGGGAGAGCACCUCCCUUACAAGGAGGGGGUCGGCGGUUCGAUCCCGUCAUCACCCACCA